rnacentral:rRNA from 1 species
UACAGGGGGAUAACAGUUGGAAACGACUGCUAAUACCGCAUACGAUCCAACCUCGGCAUCGAGGAUGGAUGAAAGGUGGCCUCUAUUUAUAAGCUAUCACUGAAGGAGGGGAUUGCGUCUGAUUAGCUAGUUGGAGGGGUAACGGCCCACCAAGGCAAUGAUCAGUAGCCGGUCUGAGAGGAUGAACGGCCACAUUGGGACUGAGACACGGCCCAG